rnacentral:rRNA from 1 species
CCUGAUGCAGCGACGCCGCGUGAGGGAUGACGGCCUUCGGGUUGUAAACCUCUUUCAGCAGGGACGAAGCGCAAGUGACGGUACCUGCAGAAGAAGCACCGGCCAACUACGUGCCAGCAGCCGCGGUAAUACGUAGGGUGCGAGCGUUGUCCGGAAUUACUGGGCGUAAAGAGUUCGUAGGCGGUUUGUCGCGUCGUCUGUGAAAACCCACCGCUCAACGGUGGGCCUGCAGGCGAUACGGGCAGACUUGAGUACUGCAGGGGAGACUGGAAUUCCUGGUGUAGCGGUGAAAUGCGCAGAUAUCAGGAGGAACACCGGUGGCGAAGGCGGGUCUCUGGGCAGUAACUGACGCUGAGGAACGAAAGCGUGGGUAGCAAACAGGAUUAGAUACCCUGGUAGUCCACGCCGUAAACGGUGGGCGCUAGGUGUGGGUUCCUUCCACGGGAUCUGUGCCGUAGCUAACGCAUUAAGCGCCCCGCCUGGGGAGUACGGCCGCAAGGCUAAAACUCAAAGGAAUUGACGGGGGCCCGCACAAGCGGCGGAGCAUGUGGAUUAAUUCGAUGCAACGCGAAGAACCUUACCUGGGUUUGACAUGUACUGGAAAGCCGUAGAGAUACGGCCCCCCUUGUGGCC